AAAGUAAUCCAUUUAUUAAACUUUAAAAUAUACAUGUCCUCUGCAGAAUUUUUAGCAUCUUAAAUAUUAAAAAUGAUUAGUGAAAAAUACAUAUGUACAAUUGGGGCAGAGUUUUAUUUCAGUACAACAAUCUUUCAGUUGUGAACGAGUUUUAGUGUUUUGACCAAAAACAAAAACGAGUUUUAGUGACAUAUAUAUAAGUUAUGUUUGGUAAUAUUUUUUUCAAUAUUGUUGCGACAUCGUUUCAUCGACGAGUAUAUAUCUAUGAAUUAAUUUUUCUGAAAUGUUUAUUUCUCUCCACCGCAGCAUAAAUGUUUGAAAGAAUGGAAACGGUGGUAGUCACAUUAGAAGAGGACCACUUUGACUAAAGCUAGCUACAACUCUCAACUAUCUUUCAUCUUCCAAAUAAUCAAUAUUAGCAGAGAUUAUGAUCCACUAACUAAAUGAUAACAGUCUGAGAGAAGUGAAUGUUGAUUGAUCACUAUCAAUUAACUAAUCACUAGCUAUUGCAGCGAGAACGAGGAAAUUUUAGCAAACCUCCUUAGUCCCAAUGAACUAAUAAAGUUAUAUAUAUAUCAUAUAACAACCAAGAAGGAAUUAAACAACAUUUUCAACUUAUAAUUAAUAAAGCAAUAUUGCUAAAGCACAAGCUCUGAUACAUGCUGUGCAACGUCUCUCGAAGCUAGAUUACAACAUGUGCUUCUAAAUAGUCAGAUAGAUUACCACAAAGCAACUUUUUAACAUGUUUACACGAACCAAAAGAUGCAUACACAUAGCCUUGGGGUUUUUUUUUUUUAAUGAUAAUUCACAUAGCCUUGUUAUCCCUUAGAUUAUACAUCUUAGACAUCCUUACGCAUUCUAUUUUUUAACUUUAUCCCUAAAUGCUUAAAAUGAUAGUAUACGUAUAUUGACUGUAUGGUUAAGCAAUAUUCUAGGAUAGUGGGUGAGUUUCUCCUGGUUUUUUGGAAUGUAUUCUCUAUUGUACAAUGAAAACGAAUGUAAAUAUUUCGUUUUGUUUUUGUUGCCCACAUUUUAUUGCCGUAAAUUGCAAAAUAUUUAAAAAAAUUUAGUUUGCUUAAGGAAAAAAGAGUUAAGAGGAUGGUGGAAGGAAACAGAGAGAAGAAGGCUUCGAUGGUUGUCGGGACGUGGAGAGGAUCUCACGUGGCAAUUUCACUCUGAUUGGGUCCUAAACCGCCGGCCCACGUGGCAUGCCACUUGUCACUGACUGAAGUCUUGUUCCUAUUUGUAACGGAUUUAUGGGUUUACAAAAGACAUACCUUAUGUUGUACUAAUUCACACAACACAGAGAAACAAGAACCACAAAAGCACGAUCAUUUUCGGACUUAGAUUAUGAAGUUUUGACAAGUUUAAUUCACGAACAAGGGAACGAUCGAUAUGACGUCAUACUUGGUGUGUCUUGACACUGAAGAGGUAAAAGCUUAAUUUCUAAGUUUGUUUCUGUAUAUAAAGCAAGAUAGCAACUACAAAUGCCGAAAUUUUUUUUAUUUUUUUUGCUAAACUUGUAAAUAUCAUAUAUACGAAAGAUAGGUGUUACAUCUUAAGACCUAAA